rnacentral:rRNA from 1 species
UACAGAGGGGGCAAGCGUUAUUCGGAAUUAUUGGGCGUAAAGGGCGCGUAGGCGGCUUUGCAAGUGACGGGUGAAAUCCCUCGGCUUAACCGAGGAACUGCCUGUCAGACUGCAUGGCUUGAGACCGGGAGAGGUGAGUGGAAUUCCCAGUGUAGCGGUGAAAUGCGUAGAUAUCGUAAGGAAGACCAGUGGCGAAGGCGGGUCUCUGGACAGUUCCUGACGCUGAGGCACGAAGGCCAGGGGAGCAAACGGG